rnacentral:rRNA from 1 species
CCUACGGGAGGCAGCAGUAAGGGAUAUUGGUCAAUGGGGGAAACCCUGAACCAGCCACGCCGCGUGAGGGACGACGGUCUUCGGAUUGUAAACCUCUGUCCUCAGUGAAGAUGAUGACGGUAGCAGAGGAGGAAGCUCCGGCUAACUCCGUGCCAGCAGCCGCGGUAAUACGUAGGGCGCGAGCGUUGUCCGGAUUUACUGGGUGUAAAGGGUGCGUAGGCGGCUUGGCAAGUCAGUAGUGAAAUCCCUGGGCUUAACCCAGGAACUGCUAUUGAACAUGGCGAGCUUGAGUGCAGGAGAGGGAGGCGGAAUUCCCGGUGUAGCGGUGAAAGGCGUAGAGAUCGGGAGGAACACCAGGGGCGAAGGCGGCCGACGGGGCUUUAACUGACGCUGAGGCACGAAAGCGUGGGUAGCAAACAGGAUUAGAUACCCCAGUAGUC